ACGCUCGACACCUACGGGAGGCAGCAGUGGGGAAUAUUGCACAAUGGGGGAAACCCUGAUGCAGCGACGCCGCGUGAGCGAAGAAGUAUUUCGGUAUGUAAAGCUCUAUCAGCAGGGAAGAAAAUGACGGUACCUGACUAAGAAGCACCGGCUAAAUACGUGUCAGCAGCCGCGGUAAUCUGAGCGGGCUGGCAAGGC
rnacentral:rRNA from 1 species